UGGAGAGCUGCUCUCAGUACAGCAGCUGCUCUGAAUGUCUGAACUCCAGAGACCCUCACUGCGGCUGGUGUGUCCUUCACAACAUCUGUUCUCGCCGUGAUCGCUGUGAGACAGCCGACGAGCCGCAGGGGUUCACCUCCAGAGUAGAUCAGUGUGUGGAGCUCACCGUCCAGCCCAACACUAUCUCUGCCUCUGUGGCCGAAGUCCAUGUGUGUCUAAAUUAGAGCAGAUACGGCAUGCCUUUAUCACCGGCAGAGUGGAUUAUUGUAAUGAUCUCCUCACUCCUUUCCAAGAAGACCAUUACAGUUGCAGAUAAUCCAGAACGCUGCUGCCGGGAUUUUAACUAGAACCAGAAAAUAUGAGCAUAUGACACCGCUCCUCAGGUUCUUACACUGGCUUCCAGUUACAUUCAGGAUUGCUUUUAAAGUACUAUUACUCGUUUAUAAAUCACUCAGUGGUCUAAGACCUAAAUACAUUGCAGAUAUGGUCCCUGAAUAUAAACCUAACAGAGCACUCAGAUCAUCAGGAUCUUGUUUGUUAGAAAUACCAAGGUUUCACACAAAACAAGAGGAGUCCGCUUUUUAGCUAUUAUGCUGCUUGCAGUUGGAACCAGCUUCCAGAAGAGAUCAGGUAUGCUAAAAUAUGCUAAAAAUAGUUUUAAAACUCACCCAUUUAGCUGUGCAUUUACUGAAUGAGCUGUGUUACGUCUGAACUGACUGCACUGCAUUUUAUGUAUAAUCAUUUUAUAUUCUUAACUGUUUCAAUUUAUUUUUAAUCUAUUUUUAAAUCGUUUUUGAAAUGUUUUUAUUGUUAUUGUCUUAUUUUUGUGAUCGUUUAAUUUCCUUGCCAUUAGUUAACAGUAGUUAACAACAUUGGUUAGCAUGAGCUAAGAAGAUUAAUCUAAGUUAAUUUCAGUAAUUACUAAUGCAUUAUUAAAAUCAAUACACUAACAUCAGUUAGUGCACUUAAAUAAACAAUUAUUUUCAUUAACAUUAGUGUAAUGUAUUGUUCAUUGUUUCUUCAUGUUAGUCAAUACAUUAGCUAAUGUUAACAAAUGACACCUUAUUGUAAAAUGUUACCAAUUUCCUUUUAUGUACAGCAUUUGGAUUAAGCAUUGUGUAUGACAUGUGCUGUGACAAUAAAAUUGCCUUGCUUCAAGUAUUUA